UGGGGGAAAUGCUACUAAUCGAGCUGGCAGAGAACAUCAGAUUUCAAUGGCAAGCAGAAGCCACCAGAUCCUCAUGGUUCAGAUGACAGACUGAACUGAAAGAGGGAAACAGAAACCCAGAGGAGAAACCUUUGUUGCUGGGGCCCUGGACACAGCCUCCGUUCUGUGCAGUGGGAAAUGGAUGAGCUGUCCCCUGCCCCAGACCCACACCUGGACAGACUUGGCAGAAGACUCAGGGCAGGGGAGCAAGCUGGUUAUUACCAGGAUGACAUUGUCCUUGGAAGGUAACACUUGUGAUUGGAACCACUCUUCAAGCUGAACGGGCAAUAAAAAAAAGCCAAGUUUAAGGUCAGGAUACUCUUCCGUUCAUCAUUUCACUUUGAAGAAAUCACUUCUCUUAACCACAGACCAAUGCUUACUUAUCUCACAGGACUAUUGUAAAAAUCAAAUUUUAUCACAAUAUGCAUAAAGGCACAUGACAAAUAGUGAAGCAAACAUAGCAUUACCAUCUGAUCCAGCAAUUCCACUGCUGUGCAUCUACACAAAAUAAUUGAAAGCAAGGACUAGAACAGAUGUCCAUGUUCGUAGUUGCAUUAUUUUCCAUAGCAACCCAAGGGUCCCUCAGUGGAUAAACAGAUACAUGCAAUGUGGUAGGUCCAUACAAUGGAAUAUUCUUCAGCCUUAGAAAGAAAAGAAAUUCUGACAUGUGUUACAUGAAUGGACCUCGAGAACAUUAUGCUAAGUGAAACUAGCUAGUCACAAACAGACAGACCUGGAUAACUUCAGUUAUAAGAGGUUCCUAGAGCCGUCAAACUCAUAUAAAGAAAAAGUAGGAUGAUGGUUGCCAGAGGUGAAGAGAGAAGGAAAUGGGAGUUGUUUGAUGGGUACAGAGUUUGGGAAGAUUUUAAAAGAGUUCUGGAGAUGGGUGGUGGUGAUGGUUGCACAACAAAGAGAAUGUACUUAAUGCCACUGAACUGUGCCCUUAAGAUGGUUAAGCUGGUUAGUUUUAUGUUAUAUAUUUUUUUUACCACAUUAAACAAUUAAAUUAAAUUUUUAAAAAAGUAAAGCAUUCCAAACAGUCUUACUGUAAUGAGAGGUAUUCUUUGAGUCAGGGUCUUGUUUUUCUAGGAGGCCACUGUGAAGAAGGGCCACACACACAGAAAACAUCACCUAGUUCGGGAGAAGUGCAUUUUCAAGUCCUUUCCUCUGUAGACACUGCCCCCACCCCAGGUUAUCCAUGCAGUUUCCCCCGCAGCAGGAGCUAAGACAACGCUUGGGCAGUGCUCCAAACGGAGCAGCAAACGCAAGGCCUGGAAGGAAGAUGAAACGUGGAUGGCUGGGCCUCCUGACUCAGCAACGCUCCCACUCAGGGCUGUGGAGCACCCUGUUACUCUCCCACAUGGCGCUUGUCAUGGCAGGGGCUUGACACUUGUUUACAUAAUUGUAGGAUGAAGAAUCUGACUCCCCGCCUGACUGUAUUUCCUCAUUAUUGCCUUCCCAGUACUCAAUAUUAAACUUGGAACAGCAGAUUGAACAAAUACUUGUUGAAUGAAAUUAAUGUAUCAUCAUGGGAGAUGUCUUAGGAUAUAUAUAUAAUUUUUGGAGACAAGGUCUUGCUCCAUCACCAAGGCUGAAGUACAGUCAUGCAAUCACAGCUCACUGUAGUCUCAACCUCCCAGCUCAAGUGAUCCUCCUGCCUCAACCUCCCAAGCAGCUGGGACUACAGGCAUGCACCACCACACCCGGCUAAUUUUUUUUUUUUUUUUUUUUGAGAUGUAGUUUCACUCUUGUGACCCAGGCUGGAGUGCCAUCUCUGCUCACUGCAAACUCCGCCUCCCAGGUUCAAGCAAUUCAGCUUCUCGAGUAGCUGGGAUUACAGGCGCCAUCACCACGCCCGGCUAAUUUUUGUAUUUUUAGUAGAGACGGGGUUUCACCAUGUUGGCCAGGCUGGUCUCAAACUCCUGACCUCAGGUGAUCUGCCCGUCUUGGCCUCCCAAAGUGCUGGGAUUACAGGCAUGACCCAAUGCCACUGGCCCUAAUUUCUCUUCUCUUCUUUUCUUCUUUUUUCCUUCCUUCCUUCCCUCCCUCCCUCCCUUUCGUUUUCUUUCUCGCUUUCUUUUUUUUUUUUUUUUUUUUUGAGACUGGGUCUAACUCUGUUGCCCAGGCUGGUCUUGAAUUCCUGAGCUCCCACCUCAGUCUCCCAAAGUGCUAGUAUUACAGGCUAAAGCCCCUGCACCUGACUUUUAGGAUUUAAAAAAUUAAAGUAAAACAAAAACGUGGGCCUAGUGCAACUGGUCAGAACCCAGAUCCUCUCACAGUGCUGAUAGCCACGUAAAUCUGCACAUCUUUCUGGAAAAGUUAAAGAGCAAAAGACAUCUAUGUCUUUCACCCUGUAUUCCUAUCCCUAAAGUUCUUCCUAAUGUUCCAAAACUGUGUGCCAAUUGUGUGCCAUUACCUGCAGCAUUAUCUAUAACAGGUGAAAAAGUGCAUACUACAUACUAUGUAACAAUAGGGGAAAGGUUUACUAUGUGUAAUAGUAUGUAACUGCUGCAAUAAUCAUGAAGGUCAUGUAGAAAUAUGUGAAUGAUAUAUGUUGUGCUGAAUUUUGAUAGCAGACUAAAAUGCCAUGCACAUUAUAAAUGUACUUAACGACUGUAUGAAUAUUGACAAAAACUCAAAGUGAGUAUGUGCAAAUAAAGAUGGUUGCUUUAGAAUGCGGGGCAGUUAUGGGAGCUUUUCAUUUAAAAAAUGCUUUUUUAUAGUGCCUACACAAAUAUUUCUAGAUUUUGAAAACCAGCAAGACUCUCUGUCAUCCAAAGACUGUAUUGCCAUCUGGUGGAAAUGUCACAGGGUGCAGUCUAAUGCAAAUGGAGUAUUUUUAGAAAAGGAAAUGCAGAUGUUUCUCUUUGAAGUCACAAAUCCGCUCCAUUCCAGGAAAUUGAGUUGAGUUUUCUUGGAGCCAAAUUCCAUGAAGAAUAUACAUGAGCCUCCUUUGUUAAACUCAGAAGUGGCUGGAAACAGUCAAAUCGAAAUUCCAUCAACCAAACUUUGUUGAGGGUUCUAUAAUUUUCAUUUUAGCCUUUCAAAAUGUGGAGUACAACUAUUCCAGGAAUAAAAUGAUCAGAAGAUCAUAAAGGUGUCAGGUUAGGAUAAACUCCAACUUGCUCUCCAGGGAAGAAGCCGCCAGCCUGGAAGCAAAUGGUUACUCUUCUGUAAUUCUUUCACUAGCUUUGCAUACUUGAUGUAGGUAGAGUCUAUCUAGCUUGUUUAUACAGCAUGUAGACAACCUUCAGCAAAUGAUUUUGAUUAACUAAUAUGCGUUCUCCCAAAUACGCAGCAAAGUAAGUUGUGGCACUAUUUCUGUUCUAUUUGUUUGCUUGUUUGUUUGUUUAUAGAGAUAUAGUCUCAUGAUGUUGCCCAGGCCAGACUCGAACUCCUAGGCUUAAGUGGUCCUCCUGCCUCAGCCUCCUGAAUAGCUAGGAUUAGAGACAUGGCCACCACCCAGCUCAGCACUAUUUAUUCAUAAGAAAAUUUAGAAAGUUUAUACCUCCUAUUUAGCCUCUUCUUUAAUGUAGAACAUUGAGGGUUUGCACAAGGAAUAUAGAAGAAAUUAUAUUAAUGUUAUUUUGAAAAAUAAAAAAUUACAUUUGUGCCUCUCACAAAGUUAUGGGUUGGACUCUCAGUUUCAUUAGUUCAACUACAGUUACACUCUCGACUUUUUUAAUUCUGGGUCUGGUCUUUUUCCAGGAGUGCCUUCUGGAAAGAGCUAGGAGCCUCUUCUGUCUCCCAUCUUUCCCUGCAAUCACCCACUCUCUCUCUCAUCUGAAUUACUGUCCUCCCCAGUCCCCACUUACUCUGUACACCACACCUAGACUAGUGAUCACUUAGUAGGCACCAACCUGGGUUAGAGCUUUAUGAAGAUGGUGACUGCAUUUUUCUACUUCCUUAUUUUCAGUGCCUUAUUUUCAGUCAAGUAUUUGUUGAAUGAAUCAAUGCAGGCAUGCAAGAAAUACUAUCCUGGUUCCAAAUGUGUGUGGACCAUCACUUGGGAAGGUGACUGGGUAUCAACUCUGAUCCUUGUCAGUGCUUUUGUGGAGUUACUAGUUAUCUCCAAUACCCCUUCUCACCUUCAUCCAGAGUAAUAGAAAUUUUGGCUGGGCUCCUAGCCCCCCACGAUAGACUGCACUCCCUAGCCUCCCUUGCAGCCUGGAUAUGACCGUGAAACUAAAUUACGGGCCAUGGGAAUGAGCAAAAAAAAAGUGAGGCGUGUAAUUGUGUGCAAUGACCGGCCUUAAAGGGUAAGGGGGUGCCCUUUCCCGCUUCCUGUGUGGGGGUGAGCAUGGCAUGGUGAACCAUGUGGGACUCCUUGAAGGAGGGCAACAGAGUUUGGGGACAGAAAAUCCCUGGCCUCAGAUGACUCCACAGGCCAGACCUGUCCUGCCAGCACAUCUUUGACAUGAGCACAUGAAACAGAAAUAGACUUCUACCUUGCAUAAGCCACUGUUAUUUGGGGUCUUGACACACAGCUGAGCCCACAUCCUGACUAAUACAAGGCGUGCACUGCCCAAGGUGUGGCUGCUCAUCAGAAGUGAGGAGGCUUGCAGACUACUGUAGUCAGCCAGAGUGACAGCUGUUGGGGACUCACUGAGCAUAAAACCCUCCCAGUAAUAUAUGUAAAAAGGAACAACAGUCACUGCCUUAGACAGAUCAAGACAAGAUCUCUAUACAUUCAUAUCGUAUGAAUGUAUAGAGACUAGAGGUCAUUCUGCAGAAUGCUGUGAUCGCAUGAGUCAGACAUACUGGCUUGGUCGGGGCAAAGGGACACAUACUGCAAAUAACUUUGAAGUUAUUGUUUUUUAGUCCCCCCAAAAUAGGUUCUUAUUUAAUUCAUUUAUUUCUGGCUCAUUUCCCUAUGCUUUACCUAUAUUUGUCCUUUGCUAAAGAAUCUCUUGAUAAAUGUUCACCCAGUGCCCUUCCUGAUUAAUUUUCUCCAAGAACAUCAUGUCCUUAAUUCAACGGCCAGGGUUAUCACUCCUCAAGAUUCUUAACUCUCCAAAACUAAGAUUUAAUACAAACCUGCUAGAAAUCAGCUGAGUGGUAUCUCCCGGGUUUCCAAACCUCAGAGCCUCAGCUUCCUCCUGCAUGCACUGGAAAGGAUGAACACCCUCCCAGAUCUGACGAUCUAAGAGUCCAAUAGCUCUAGGGUGCCUUCAUCGAAUAUAUUCUCUUUCAUGCACUCUCUCUAUUGUGCACUUCAUAGAUUUCUUCUUCAACAUAUAUUGAUGGUUUUCUCCUACACUGUAAAUUAGCACAGCCAUAAAUAUGAAAAUGUAUACAAGUUGAAUACGUGAACCUGAUCAAAAAAAAAAGUACACAUUAAAAUUUGUGCAAAAUAAGCUAUAAGCUUCUCUAGAAAGCUCUGUUAAAAAGGUCCAUUAUUCUCAUGACUUAUUAAUGGUUUCUCUCUCUCCUCCUAGCCAGUGGUAGUGUUCUAGCAGAAUUUCAAAACCUGCCUUUGUCUCCUCUUCAGCCUCCUCGAGAAUAAAUUUUGAAAGCGGCUUACCCCUUUCCUACCCAAAACUCUAUAGACAUCUGACUAUUCUGCAAAUUAAUAAGCAGGAUUAUCCCACAGAUAAUAUAAGUGCUGUUUUAGGACCUAGAUGCCUUAAAUUGAAUGUAAAUAAAUCUUUUCCUAAUGAACUUACCUGGACCCGAGGGCUGCAGGCUGGACCCAGAUACUGCGCAAACCAAGAAUCAAGGACCAGCUAAAUAAAAUCAGCCUUCCUGCCAUACAAUUCCCCAGUGGAUAUGUCUGCAAAAUAGCAGGAAGGGGAGGGAACAGAGGAAGGCCAAGAUGUCUUCGAAGAGCUUCAAGAAUUACGGCAACACUUAAAUCAGGUAGCAUCUUCUACCAGCACCACUUACUUUAGAAAAGUUAACUCCUUUUGAAUGAAAUGAGGGAAUACUUUCAAGGGGAGUCUGAAGGAAGGAGUGCCCCAGGCAGGUUUCUUUUUCAAAGUGAUGUUCAUGCCUUUGCUUCAGUGCUUCUCCCUGACCUUGGGGUAAUUAUGGGCAACAGGACAAAACUGAAGGCUGCUAACAGUGGCUGGGUCUCAUUUGGAUCCCAGACCAUUAGAAUUCCUAUCACUUAGAUUUUCAGAUGUGUGUGUCGUAAUGCCUUACGAGUUUAGGCAUUUGUGUAGGUAAGGAUUCAGUGCCCAUUCCCCUCUCACUCACAAUCACACACUCCAUCUAACGCGGAGAACGCGGUGCAACCAUUUGUUCUAUGCCAAUCAUGGAUUCACUUUCCUCGUGUUUAGUAGUAACAUUUAUCUAAAACUUAUGAAUAGCUUCUAGAGGACAGAGGAGCCCAGCCCGGUUUCCCCAGAUGCCGCGGUGCACCGAGCAGGAGCAGAGGCCACGCGGGAGCCGGGUGUGCGGGUGGGUACCGGCCGCGCCCCUGCUCGGAGGCGGCGACUCCCUCCCCCGCCUUACUCACACCGUGCCUCAGUUUCCCCGUCAGUGCAGCGGACAAGACAAUGCCGAGGUCCCAGGCGGGCGGCAGGAUCCAAUUAGUCCGUGUAAAAUGAGAGGCAUCUGGCUUCUCCCGGGCACCCCGCAGCCUGCCCCGCCUCUUAGUGGCUAAAGGCAGGGAGCCCCUGAGUCCCAGCGCGGCUGGGGGCUCUCAGCAGUUCUGGCCGAGCUCCCUCCCGCCCGCGUCGCCUGGCCUCGAACCGCUGCACCGCGGGCGGCCCCGACGGGUUCCCGACCUCCCGCUGGGGACACCUGUCCCGCCGCCCGGCCCUUCCCCGCCUCCCGCGCCUCCGCCCCAGGGGAGCUCCGGGACAGGCCCACCUAGGCAGCCUGCCGGCGCAGACCCAGCGAGGGAAGGCCAGUCUCGGGCCUCCAACCGGACACGCGCUCCCCAUUCCGGGCUCUCCCACGUCUGCACACUCCAGCCCAGCCACGCGGAGUGGCUUCCAGAACCUGCCCUGCGGCCCCGCUUUGCCAACACCCCACCCACCCCGUGGGCAUGAUCAUCCUCACUGCAGGACCCUGCCGGGGCCUGGGGUCCGUGGGAAGCCGGCUCAGAAGUGAGACCCUGGCCCCCUGCUUACAGGGAAAAGGGCUCCAUCCUCCGAGCGCUUCCUGACCACAGCGCCUCCAGCCUCCAGGGCUGGGCGGCCCAGGCUCAGCUGGGUUCACUCCAGCUUUGCCCCUCUCGCCCGUGCGGGGUAGGGGCGCGCUUGUUAGGUCAUCUCCCCACAACUCUCCUGGAAGAAAAUGCCACCCCCAUCUCUUUCACUCCCUCCUAUACAUGGAGCCACCAUGCUCUGCCCUGUGGGUUCUGGGGCUCGCCCCCUCCCCACCCUAGCGACCGCCCCUCCCCAGUGCAGCCCAAGGUCGGGGGGGAGCAGAUCACUUUGGGAAGCAGGUGGAUGUUAAGAAGAAACAAAAAGUGGGGAGUAACCACUUGGCAGCCUUCAUAGGAAUCCUUUUCUGAUUACAGCCACAGCAAACCACGGGCUGUUGACUUAGCGUUUCUGAGCUGCUAAUUAGAGAAGGAAAUUCUAUCUACUCACCCCCAAAGGGCAAGUGAACAGGGCCACUAGCACAGCUUUUGUGGCAGGGCCUAGCCUUUGGGGCAAUCAGAGGGCACAGUCUGUUCUCUUUGCCUCCUCUCCAUCAACCCUAGCAAAAGCCAGACCCGUCCCACUGCUCCCUUCCACAUCCCUCUGACUCCAACACUGAGUCCACUGACAUUUCUCAAGCCAAGCGGCCCUCCUAGGUUGCUCUCAGAGGCUUCCUUCUCCCACGCCUACCCAGUUAGAUGGAGCUCUUGAAUGGAUUACCACACUUUUAACCACCUCUAUAUAAGAUAACUGCUUUUUCAUCCCCAAAUAAAAGUUUUAUUGAAUCUUAAUGGUAAAAUCUACUGUUUAGGGGGAACAGCAGAUAACUCAUCAUACAUUUUGGAUGCAAUUCUUUUGACUUUUUGAAAAACUGCUUUUAAUAGGUGAACUAUGUUUUUAGUUGUAUAAGAAAUUAAGAAAAAGACUGGAAAAAAUAAAAGGAACUCUAUGAUCAGUAAUAGAGUAUUAUACCAUAUCCAAUGGUUAUAUGCUUUUCUACAAUUAUCCCAGUAACCUGAAUGUAGAGUUAUUUUAUUUAUUAUUAUUAUCAUUUUAAGAGAUGUCUCGCUAUGUUGCCCAAGUUGUAGUGCAGCUUAGAUAUUCACAGGUGCAAUCAUAGAGAAUGGAGGCCUUUAACUCCUGACCUCAAGUGAUUCUCCUGCCUCAGGCUCUCGAGUAGCUGGGACUACAGGUACAUGCCAUCACUCUCCGCCUGAUGCACAAUUAUAAAAAGGAAUUAAACACUGCUGAGUUGGAGAAAAUUGACUGUGAUAUUUUCAGUUUAGUUCAAGAAAUUUUCAUACUAUAGAACAGACUGUCAAUCAUCAAGAUUCUCUAUUUUUUAUUUUGUAUAAAAUAGGAUUGUAGCUUCAUCACAUUAUUUUCUGACACUAAUUGUUUUCUCUAUCCCUUUUAUGGCCUUAUUAAAACCAAUAUAGAAAUACAUCUCUAAGGCAACUAUCAAGAACAACAGAUUAGAUAAAGGUAUUCUGUGAAAUAACCUUUGAUUAUAGUCACAACACAUCAAGUUAAAUUUUUAAAAAUUUACAUAAUGCAAUUGUGUCACGGUUUCCAAGAAGACCCCCAGGUUUGGUGAGUCACUAGAAGGACUCACAGGGCCUACCAAAUAGUCAUACUCAGGGCUUGGAUUUAUGACAAAGGAUACAAAGCAAAAUUAGCAAAGGGAAAAAGUGUAUUUGGUAAAAUCUGGAGGAAAUCAGGCACAAACUUCCAGGAGUCUUUUCCUGUGGAGGUACCAGGAUGUACUUAAUUCCCUCAGCCUCAAAAUUUGACAACACAUGUGCAAUGUUGUCUACCAGUACCAGAAUCUCAUUAGAGACUCAGCACUCAAGUUUUUAUGGAGGCUAGUCACAUAGGCUUCUCUCUCUCAAAGGUACUCAACUUCCAGACUCCCAGAAGGAAAGCAGCUAUUCAGAGUAAACCGCAUUGUUUAUACAGUUUAGGACAGAGUGAACCACUCUUCUCAGUUAGGAAAUAGUGGGGACUCUCCCAAUUCCAAGGUCCCAAAUGCCAGGCAGAGGCCAGCCAUGCAAGCAGGCCUUUCUAAGGAUGACAGUCUCAUGCCCGCUUUAUGAAAUCUCUUCUGCACAGCAGUUAUAGUCCCUACUUAAUUUUUGUGGUUGUCUUUAUAUUUUAUUUUAAAUGCAAACAAUAUAAUGAUAUAACACAGUACUGGUUUCAGUUGUUUGAUCCAUCUCAACUUGCAAGACUGGCUACCUUUUUGGCUUUUGUUGAAUAACAGGUAGUUGUAUGUAAGAUACUAUGGCAAUAUUAGGUAAUUAUAAUUUUUCCUCAUCUGAUUAAACUUUCAAUAAAAUUGUUAGAUAAAAUAAGCAUCAUAAUUUCUAAUUUAAAAUUAAAAUUGUCUUAAAUGGAUGGUCCAGUUUCAAUUCAUAUUGUGUCAAAUUUCUAUUUUUAAUUGCAAAAUAAGAAAAUAUUUAAUCAUUUUUAUCAAUUAUUUUCUUGGCUAAAUAUUCAAUUUAAAUUAUUUGCUUCACAUAUUUUUGUAUACUUCAAAUUUGGGAGAUAAUGCCCAUAUUCUGUUACUUUGACUUUUCAUGAUCUCCAGUGUUCAAGGUGUCAAUAUUAGUCUGCUUUUCAUUACCAUAAAAAAAAACCCUGAGGCUUAGUAAUUCAAAAAGAGACUUAUUUGGCUCACUACUCUGAAGCCUGUACAAGCAAGGCACCAGCAUCUGCCCAGCUUCUGGUGAGGCCUCAGGAAGCUUUAUUCAUGGCAGAAGGUGCAGGGGGAGCAGGUGCCUCACAUGGCAAGAGAGUAAGAGAGAAGAGAGCAAGAGAGAGCUGCCAGGUUCUUUCAAAAAACCAGUUGGCAUGAACUACUGACUACUCCAGGGAGGGCACCAGGCCAUUCAUAAGGGUUCAGCCCCCAUGACCAAAACAACUCCCAUUAGGCUCCACCUCCAAUACCAGGGAUCAUAUUUCAACAUGAGAUGUGGAGGAGACAAACAUCCAAACUGUAUCAGAGACUAUAUCUUACUAUAACAUAUGGCAAUGGCAUAAAUGUGUAUUGCUAUAUCUUGUAAUACUUUUUCUUCAGUAGCUUUUCAUACGUUUUAGUUAAUAUAAUUUUAUUUUUAUUAAUGUCAAUUUAACUUAAAUCUGAAAAUAUUUCGAUUUCAAAUUACAUGUUGUUAUGACCACUCAACUUUUAAAAGGCAUCUACUUUUUAUUAAGUAACAAUCUGGGACAAAUAGAGUGAAUUUUACCAAAACCAUAUUUGAUUUAUUUUUCCCACUGGUAUACAUAAUUUACUAUUAUUACAUAUAAUUUGCUUAUAAUUUUUAUUUGAAGGCUCACUGACCAUCAUUUGGAUAGAGCUUUGUCCAGCAAUGAUAAGUGUAGUUAUCUGUGACCUUUUAGUCUGGCAUUGGAUCCUCAUUUUCAGACAAAUGAGGGGAGGUGGGAUUCACAUAUAGUAGAAAUGCCAUAAGUAGGAGAGAGACUCAUAGCAGCUGAGGUCAGGAGGUUACCUACAGGGCCUUAAAAGCCAUUGGAAUUUUUCUUUUAUUCUGAGACAGGAAUCUAUUGGAAAGAUUUGGACAGGCAAGUGAAUAACUGAGGACCCCUGAGGUUGAUUUGAGCUCCUAAUAAAAAAAGAGGAAAAAGAGGGAAACGUUCCUCAGUGUAGAAUUGACCACUGCCAGCCUCACUCACAUAUCCACUGCUUUCUUGAGACUUCAGCAGGUUGUUAAGCAUCGCCGAAUUAUCAGCAGAUGACUGAAUGGUGGGCUAAAACUGUCGUCUAGUAACAGAAUAUCUAUUUGGCAGGAAGAUAACACCUGCUGUGUCCUUAACUGGAUUCAGUAAUAAAUAGGAAUAUGUACACAUGAGGAAAAGAAGGUGAAUUGUGUAUGAGGUGAUAUUUUUCCAAGUGUAUGUUAGAGUUAGAUAUUAUUGAAAAUUUAAUAAUAAGGUGAUUUACAAAAUCAGUAACAAAAAUACUUUAUCAGGUGUGUGAGACAACUUCAACAAGAAGUCGCUGUAACCCUAAAAAAACCAUCUAUGUCGGGCUGGGCACGGUGGCUCACGCCUGUAAUCACAGCACUUUGGGAGGCCAAGGUAGGCAGAUUACGAGGUCAAGAGAUUGAGACCAUCCUGGCCAACAUGGUGAAACCCCCGUCUCUACCAAAAAUAAAAAAAAAUUAGCCUGGCGUUGUGGCGUACGCCUGUAGUCCCAGCUACUCGGGAGGCUGAGGUAGGAGAAUCACGUGAACUCGGGAGACAGAGGUUUGCAGCGAGCCGAGAUCAUGCCGCUGCACUCCAGCCUGGCGACAGAGUGAGACUCCAUCUAAAAAAAAUAAAAUUAAAAAAAAAAACCAUCUAUGUCAGAGACUUCCCUAGAGGUUACAUUAUGUGACCACAUUAAUUUAGAAAAAGGGACACAGGAGUUAUUUCAAAUCAGAAGUCAGAUAUGUGUGAAAUUUAACAUGUCAACAGUUAAUCUGUAGCUGGUUAAACAAUAUAAAGUGUUUUAAGAUACUAAUUUCAGAAGACAGCUUUCUUUUGUAUCUUCAUUAUAACUGAUUUUAUUAAAAUUUUAGUAUCUUUAUAGUGACUUUCAUUAUGCCUUUUUUCUUAUAAUUACAUACAUUUUUUUCUUAUAAUACCCCUAGAAAAGUUAAGAAUUAUGUAUCAUUCCUCACAAAAGUUGAGUGACUUUUUUUCCUGUUAAACAGUAUGUUUAAGUGACUUCUUUAUUGCCAGCAUAAGGCAAGCCAGAUUAAAUCAGAGGAGAAUGUUUCAUGGAAUGUUCCAGAAAUUAUCUUAUUUUUAUCUUCACUUUUGUGAAUAGAUAUAGAAUCUGUGCCUGUUUAUUUCACGGAUUUCAGGUUAACCAUUACAGAAAGGCCAUGAUACUGUUCUUCAAAAUGCAAAUGUUUUAUGUUAAUUUACAAACUGUUUGAAAAGUUGGACAUUUCCUUUAUUUUAAAAAAUUUAAAAUUGUAAAAGCAUAUUAAUAUUUAGAUUAUGUAUUGUGUAUACAUUCAAAACAGAGAAUUAAGAAACUUACCUGAGGCUAGGAGUGGAGGUGGGAGCCUAUAGUCUCAGCAACUGAAGAGGCUGAGGUAGCAGGAUGACCUGAGCUCAGGGGGUUGAGGCUGCAGUGAGCCACAGUUGUGCCACUUUAUUCCAGCCUGAGUGACAGAGUGAGAUCCUGUCUCA
rnacentral:lncRNA from 10 species